rnacentral:rRNA from 1 species
UGGGGAAUUUUGGACAAUGGGCGCAAGCCUGAUCCAGCCAUGCCGCGUGCGGGAAGAAGGCCUUCGGGUUGUAAACUGCUUUUGUACGGAACGAAAAGACUCCUUCUAAUAAAGGGGGUCCAUGACGGUACCGUAAGAAUAAGCACCGGCUAACUACGUGCCAGCAGCCGCGGUAAUACGUAGGGUGCGAGCGUUAAUCGGAAUUACUGGGCGUAAAGCGUGCGCAGGCGGUUAUGCAAGACAGAGGUGAAAUCCCCGGGCUCAACCUGGGAACUGCCUUUGUGAGUGCAUAGCUAGAGUACGGUAGAGGGGGAGGGAAUUCCGCGUGUAGCAGUGAAAUGCGUAGAUAUGCGGAGGAACACCGAUGGCGAAGGCAAUCCCCUGGACCUGUACUGACGCUCAUGCACGAAAGCGUGGGGGGCAAACA